UCAUUUAUUCUUUGAUGAGCCGCAUAGUUCAUAUGAUCAAACUGUGAUAUUUUACUACGUUGAAAAUGGUCUUUCACCCCUAGCUGAUUAAACUA